UCCUAUCCACAGAGUUUUUGUGAAUUCAUAGAAUUCAUACAACUUUUUGUUUUUCCAUUUCUUUCUUUGUUCCGAACCAUUCUUUGAAUUCGAACUCUUCGUUCUUUUUCUUGAUUGAAUUUCUUUAUUCAAUAUUGAAUUGAAUUCACAGUUACAAAUGAAACGGAAGGACUUUUAUUGGAAUCCCUACCCCAAUUCUCAAUAAUAGGAGGGCAGAUUAGAUAUAUCUUUUAGCUCAUAUAUAACUAGCCUACUAUUACAUAUACAUGUCUUUCUUCCAUAACGUAAACCAACUAUUUGUAUCUUGGAUUCAGUCGUAUUUUAAAAACAUUUUUCGAAACAUCUAUAAAGGAAAGUUGGCUUAUAGCGAUUAUAUAUAUUACAUAUACCAAGUUUGAUCCCACUCUUCUAACGAAACUAUUUUCUCUUGAAUCUCAUUUUUU
rnacentral:lncRNA from 1 species